rnacentral:tRNA from 1 species
AAACAGAAGUAUUUAAUAUACAAUCAGUUUCGACCUGAAAAAAGGUGUCUAGCCCUGUUUA